CAACCUUUCUAACUGUAUAAUAUUUUUUGGUUUGCUUUUUAAAUCUUUUAUUCUCUUUAAUGUAUUAGAAGAAGCCAUAGCUUGAUCACUCUCGUAGGCUAACGUUGAUUCGCAUAUUGUUUUAUGAGAUUCAAUGAGAUCUUUUAAUUGAGGCAGCCAACUCUCUUUAAAUUUGGAAACAGAUUCUUCGUAAUUAGAUUCAUGAGUAGAAGCAAUUGGCGCUGUGACUACAGCGGCCUUGUCUCGAUUGCUGUCCCUCUUCUUGCCAUUAAUGUCGCUUUGUAAAACGUGAUUUUUUGAUACGAAAUUUUCGUAUUUCAAAUCAUGUACUGCAUCCUCUUGAUUUGUUUUAAUAAUUUUUUUUGGUCGAUAUAUUAAGUCCUCAGAAUCUGUGUUUAAAGCAUCUUCCUGUCGUUUAUACCCUGUGUUUAUGGAAAUGUCCUUUGUAUUCUUU